GUGCUCGCCUCGGCAGCACAUAUACUGAAACUGGAAUAAUAUAGAGAUUAGCGUGGCCCUUGCACAAGGGUGACGCACAAAUUCGUGAAGUAUUCCAUAUUUUU
ensembl:snRNA U6 U6 spliceosomal RNA